GCGGAUGUGGUGCGUGGUGCACGAUUGCCCUCCGUUCUUGACCACGCAGCAGCUUUGAAGCAAUUGAAUGGGGUUCGAUUCCCCGCGUCCGCA